CCAUCCCUGUCUUUUUUCUGUCUCCCUCUUCCCCAACUUUUCCUCCAUCAUCACUUGUCUUCUCCAGCCUCUUGGUAGUUUCAGUCUUUCUCAUUUCCCUCUGUCCCCGUCUCGGUCCCCAUUUCUGUCGUCCGCCUCUGUGUGCCUUCCCGUUUUCCUCCCCUGCCUCUCCCCAGCUCCCUUCCAUCUUCGUCUCUCUCCCAGUCCCUGUCUCUGGGAUGCUGUCUCUCGUGCCACGGCCUCUGCUAGACCCGGGCUCCUCCUCAGACUUCCCGUGCCUCCCCCGUGAGCCUUGCUGGUUUCAGGACGGUGGUGGUGAGAGGUGAGAGCGCUCGCCCUUUCCCUCUAGCUCCAGGAGGUGGGGAGCGUGAAUGGCCAAAGUGGGGCAAGGCAGGAUGCCCUCCUACCCCGGGAGGUC
rnacentral:lncRNA from 1 species